rnacentral:rRNA from 1 species
UACGAAGGGGGCUAGCGUUGCUCGGAUUUACUGGGCGUAAAGGGCGCGUAGGCGGAUAGUACAGUCAGGCGUGAAAUUCCUGGGCUCAACCUGGGGGCUGCGUUUGAUACGUAUUGUCUGGAGUUCGGAAGAGGGUCGUGGAAUUCCCAGUGUAGAGGUGAAAUUCGUAGAUAUUGGGAAGAACACCGGUGGCGAAGGCGGCGACCUGGUCCGAUACUGACGCUGAGGCGCGAAAGCGUGGGGAGCAAACAGG